UACAGAGGUCCCAAGCGUUGUUCGGAUUCACUGGGCGUAAAGGGUGCGUAGGCGGCCGGGUAAGUCUGCUGUGAAAUCCCGCAGCUCAACUGCGGAACUGCAUUAGAUACUAUCCGGCUCGAGGAAUGGAGGGGAGACUGGAAUUCUCGGUGUAGCAGUGAAAUGCGUAGAUAUCGAGAGGAACACCAGUGGCGAAGGCGAGUCUCUGGACAUUUCCUGACGCUGAGGCACGAAAGCCAGGGGAGCAAACGGG
rnacentral:rRNA from 1 species